AGGACGAACGCUGGCGGCGUGCUUAACACAUGCAAGUCGAGCGGAAAGGCCCUUCGGGGUACUCGAGCGGCGAACGGGUGAGUAACACGUGAGUAAUCUGCCCCUAGCUCUGGGAUAGCUCCGGGAAACCGGGAUUAAUACCAGAUACGACCACUUUAGACAUCUGUUGUGGUGGAAAGAAUUUUGGCUAGGGAUGAGCUCGCGGCCUAUCAGCUUGUUGGUGAGGUAACGGCUCACCAAGGCGACGACGGGUAGCCGGCCUGAGAGGGGCGACCGGCCACGACUGGGACUGAGACACGGCCCAGACUCCUACGGGAGGCAGCAGUUUAGAAUAUUGUGCAAUGGGCGAAAGCCUGACACAGCGACGCCGCGUGGGUGAUGAAGGCCUUAGGGUCGUAAAGCCCUGUUGGUAGGGAAGAGCAAGGACGGUACCUACCGAGGAAGCCCCGGCUAACUACGUGCCAGCAGCCGC
rnacentral:rRNA from 1 species